GCAAUCCCUACUCCCUGCCAAAGGAGAACCCAGUUACUGAACAUCGGAUGAGACCGUGGAUACUAAAUUGGGAGUGAAGGUCCAUACCUGGGUCUCAGAAGCACAGUACAGUUACACCAGCCUCCUGAGUAUGACAGCAACAUUCCUUCAGGGAUUAAAGAAAAUGCUUCAGAAGAUUGGAACACUGCUCAGCCUUCCCAAACUUCUUUUACCACUGAUGUUUCUACCUUAGUGAUCUUC
rnacentral:lncRNA from 1 species